rnacentral:rRNA from 1 species
GACGAACGCUGGCGGCGUGCUUAACACAUGCAAGUCGAACGGAAAGGCCCCAGCUUGCUGGGGUACUCGAGUGGCGAACGGGUGAGUAACACGUGGGUGAUCUGCCCUGCACUUCGGGAUAAGCCUGGGAAACUGGGUCUAAUACCGGAUAGGACCAUCGUUUAGUGUCGGUGGUGGAAAGUUUUUCGGUGCAGGAUGAGCCCGCGGCCUAUCAGCUUGUUGGUGGGGUAAUGGCCUACCAAGGCGUCGACGGGUAGCCGGCCUGAGAGGGUGGACGGCCACAUUGGGACUGAGACACGGCCCAG